rnacentral:rRNA from 1 species
CCUACGGGAGGCAGCAGUGGGGAAUAUUGGACAAUGGGGGAAACCCUGAUCCAGCGACGCCGCGUGAGUGAAGAAGUAUUUCGGUACGUAAAGCUCUAUCAGCAGGAAAGAAAAUGACGGUACCUGACCAAGAAGCCCCGGCUAACUACGUGCCAGCAGCCGCGGUAAUACGUAGGGGGCAACCGUUAUACGGAUUUACUGGGUGUACAGGGAGCGUAUAGGGAAGCGCAAGUCUGGAGUGAAAUGCCGGGGCCCAACCCCGGAAGUGCUAUGGAAACUGGGAAGCUGGAGUGCAGGAGAGGUAAGCGGAAUUCGUGGUGUAGCGGUGAAAUGCGUAGAUAUCAGGAGGAACACCGGCGGCGAAGGCGGCUUACUGGACUGUAACUGACGUUGAGGCUCGAAAGCGUGGGGAGCAAACAGGAUUAGAUACCCUGGUAGUC